rnacentral:rRNA from 1 species
GACGUAGGGCGCGAGCGUUGUCCGGAUUUAUUGGGCGUAAAGGGCUCGUAGGCGGCCGACUAAGUCAGACGUGAAAUCCCCCGGCUUAACCGGGGAACUGCGUCUGAUACUGGACGGCUUGAAUUCGGGAGAGGGAUGCGGAAUUCCAGGUGUAGCGGUGAAAUGCGUAGAUAUCUGGAGGAACACCGGUGGCGAAGGCGGCGUCCUGGACCAACACUGACACUGAUGAGCGAAAGCCAGGGGAGCAAACGGG